CGUAGACCCAUAUUAUAUUUAGCAGUUUGGUUUAGUGGGCACUUCACACAGUUGUUGAUUUUGAUCGUGAAGAGUGUUAUUGAGAGAUGGUCGCCCCUGUUAGCACUAGUACUGCUGCUACUACUACUGGGACGCAAUCACAGACGCAUACACUCUCAGCCAGAAUGAGGAAAACGAUACAAUCAAUCAAGGAAAUCGUGGGCA
rnacentral:misc_RNA from 1 species